rnacentral:piRNA from 1 species
UGGAGCUACCUCUAGCUGCAGCACUGCCUC